UGUCAUUUGGCCUCGCUAGUUCUGUAUUCACGCCUCCGAUCACGCAAAGCACAGUCAAUAUUCCACGCCUUUUCCACUACAUAAACUGCAUGACGGAAUUAUUAUGCACCGCGCGUGCUGUUUACUUUAGUGCCAACUUCACUAUCAUCACCGCUUAUCUACCGAUACGUUACCGAGAAAUGACAUAAACGAUACAAAAAUGCAUGAAAAUCAGCUUUAAAACUGUCUCCGCACUCAGCAUUUUUCCAGAAGAGAGAGAGAGAGAGAAGGAGGACAAGACAUUCCACCCUGCCAUUUAUUAGCCAAAGUGGAUUAAUGGUACACACCUGCUUUCCUGUACACAGCGUCACUGUAUUAGCUGGUAAGUUCAUUUUCGAAUUCACAAUCAAACCCAUAUUGAUGUAUAUGGAAUUUUGGACAGAACUCUCGAAAACGGAAAAUCGGCUACGUCGGUUACACUUGAUGUCAGGUGCGGCGCGGAAUUAUUUAUUGAUUUUUAAAUUUUUAAUCUUAUUAUUAACUGAGUUAUUAUUCACUUCUGAUUAGCUGAGGUCACGCUAAUAAUACGAACUCGGCUAGCUAAUGAUGCUAAAUUUCUACAACAGUGCUGUUGAACGCUGGAUUCUGAUUGGUCAGAAGAUGAAAAGUUGAUGAAUUUUCUAAAGCGGCGAACAAAGCCGACGUUUUCCGACGUCCCGCGUGCUAACAGUAACUUUGCUUCAUCACACCACCCUGUCGUCGGUGAUCGCCCUAUAUAUAACGGAACACGCGCGAGGGUUUUAUUCCUUGCGGAUCAGAUUUAUAUCAUCAUCUAAUCUGUGAUCAGAUUUUCUGUACUAGAAGCUAAAGACGUGGUAACGUUCCAGAGAACUGCUGUAGCUGAGAGUCUGGCCUCGCACUAGCGUAGCGCUGAGGAGUUAGCAGGCUGCGUUCUUAGCUAGCGCUCUGCGAUGUUUUUAUGUAUUUUCAACACGUCUCGCUUCUUAAGGGGAUUUGUCAAGAAAACAUCCUGAUAAUGUGUUUCAAACUCCUGUGUACGAAACGUACGGGAAAAGAAACCCGAAGUCACCUCACGUCUCGCCUCUAUUCGUGUGCUAGCAUGAUGUUAGCUAAUAGCUAGAAGAAUGCGUUUUGCACCAGUAGUUAGUUGUUUUUUUUUUAUUGUCUAAGAAUUCUGUGUGAGAUUUUUAAAGUAAGUGUGUGUGUGUGUGUGUGUGUGUGUGUGUGUUGAUUUAGACCUGCAGGUUGGACAGUGCUAAAGUAGAAACUAGAUUAGCCUCGUAGCUCUAGUGUAAAACCAAACGUUUUGGCUAAGCAGCUACAGCUGAGGUAAAAGGGAAACCUUUUAUUUUUUACUACCAGUCUUUUAAAUUGUGUGUGUGUGUGUGUGUGUGUGUGUGUGUGUAAACAUAAAUAUAGAAGGUGCGCUUUUAAACCUGGCCAGUUUGUACGGUUAUAUAUUCCCUGAUCUGGCGGUUUGUCAGAGGAGGAAAGAGCGCAGCUUUUCAUCAAUAAUUCAGCAGGUUUUGUUUGUGAUGUUGCUCAGAUACGAUGAAGGUCUUCACGGCUCUCGGGUUUUUAUUUAUUUAUUUGUUUGUUUAUCUCGGCGUGAGGCCGUCACAAUGACCAUCCCGCUCUUUUAUCUCCUCUCUGACAGGCGCAAAACGCAGCAAAAAUCCACCGAACAGCGACCGAGGCUCUCUUGGGGGAUGUGUGUGGGAGGGGAGGGGGGCGGCUUGGGCUCCCGAGUGUACUGUUUGACGACGCUAUAAGCCAUAAUAGGUGAAUUAAACUCCUUGCCUCUCGUCAGGAUCGAUCUCACACUCACACACACACACACACACACACACACACACACACACACACACACACACUCCACUGCGCCGAAUGGCUAGCUCCAUACAAUAGUCAGACGAUAGCUAGCAUAAUAUAUACAAAUAUGGCCAGCUAGUCAGUUCGAUCAGUCAUUAUCCUUUUCUAAGGAAGUUCCAUCAACAAAAACUCGCAUGACUAUAAGCUGUGGUGUUUUCCUUCCACUGACACACACACACACACACACACACACACACGCACGCACGCACGGUUGGGAUUUUUUUUAUUGGCUUACUGCUUUGAUCUCUCGCUAUAUGUAUGAGAGACAAUCAGUGCACAUGUGGGCGCGUGUGUAUAUACACACACACACACACACACACACACACAUACCAUCACGACCUUCUUGACCUCGGUCACAGAAACUAUAACAAUAAACUAUAAAUAACCCCUUACAAUAAACGUCUCACCUGUGUGUACACCUCAGAAUGUGUGUGUGUGUAUAUACACACACACUGACCUCAGUAAUGGACCCUUAAAACGAAUGUUCCUAUAAACUGUCACGCAGGUGCUGUGUGAGGACCGUGUGUGUGUUCACAUCUUGUGUCUGUGUGUUCGCAGGGACAGGCUGUGACGGACUGUCUGGGCCUCAUGCCGAAAUUUUAUUAUUAUUAUUUUCUUUUUUUACAAAACUUUGUGUAGCUAAGCAUCAAUUAUGUGCAGUAUUAAUCAUGUCAGUGGAAGGUCCUCAUAAGGAUAGUAAGCGUGUGUGUGUGUGUGUGUGUGUGUGUGUGUUAGUAAGAGUUUAUCCAGACAACACUGAUAUCUGAUGUUAUUUAUUGAUGUGUAUACUCACACACACCUGACGUUGAAGCUUUGAGGUGUAAAUCCAUGUUUUGUCUGACCCCUGCGUUCCGGCCAAUCAGAUCGUCCCGUUCGGCGUGAGCGCUCCACUCUCGGAUAUAAACACGUUUUUCACGCGGCUCUUUGAUCUUGACCGUGCUCCAUAAACAUGCGACUUAUUUUCGUAAUCAGCUUCGAAUAAUUAUCUCUAACUUCCUGUGGCGAGUUUACACAACAGUGUUGAUUGCUUCAUUUUUUUUUUUUUAUGUUUAAAAUCUAUGCUUCGUCAUUUUCUUGUGGUUGGUUUAAAAGUAGGCGGGGCCAUGAGGGAAACGGUCCCACGUGCGAUAUAACCAUGUUUCAGAGGUCGAAACCAGAGCAGCGAUAAAUCGGUUGAACGCGCGUCGUGAUGACGUCACGUGACUCGGUAUAUUUUGAAAAAUCGCACGCUCCUCCGAAUAUCGCGUAAACAUCGAUACGACGGUUAUUGAUCAGCGCGUUAUUUUCUCGAUGUGUCUUUGAGACGUCGACGGUGUACGUUUAAAAACGUAUAAACUUGCGCUUCAUAGCAAUCGUUCGACCCCUAUGACCUUUCGCUAAUGUUAAAUGACGAAUUUCCUGUUUACGAGAUCGGACACGCCCACAACAGUGUUUUAUUUAUUUAUUUGUUUGUUUGUUUAUUUAUUCGGAGCGCAGUUAAAGUGUGUAUAUUCUACACCUUGGGUAUUAUUUGUAAGCUUCGAUAAAAGAAGUAGCUUUUGUCCUCCUGUGCCUAAAAAAAAUAAAAACGCGACUGGGACUGUAAAUGAGUGUGUUUAGCAGCCCGCCGUGCCUUACUUCAGACACUACCUCUACUCGGUGCCAGGUAAAGUAAAAUGGAUUGAUACGCCGCUGUUUAAUUGAAAAGAUAUGACACGGUGUAAGGGUGUUUAAUUUUAUUCACGGUCCCACAUGUGAAAUACCGCAGGGUUCAACCGUUAUUACACGACACAGAGAGAGAGAGAGCGAGAGAGAGAGCGAGAGAGAGAGAGAGAGAGAGAGAGAGAGAGAGCGAGCGCUUACGUGCUGAAACACUGAAAAGUGCUGCACUUCCUGGCGAAGGUAAAAAAGUAAGGAACCAAUCAGACAUUGUAGUGCUGCCGUAGACCCCCCGAGUGAGACACGCGAGUCUGACAUAGGCCACGCCUCCCGGCCGCUACAGCACGGCAGGGUUCUACAGUGAUUGUUUAAAUGAUUUUUUUAACAGCACGCCAGGGUGAGUCCUCUGAAACGUCGUGUCGUGGGAUGAUCUCGGCCAGGAGGCGGGGCGAAUAUUCUGUCUUGAGAACGUGAUGUUAACACUGGAGUAGAGAGUGUCAGCGUUUUUACUCUUUCACAGGCUGUAACACACUGCA
ensembl:lncRNA